CCUACGGGUGGCAGCAGUGGGGAAUAUUGGGCAAUGGACGCAAGUCUGACCCAGCAACGCCGCGUGAAUGAAGAAGGCUUUCGGGUUGUAAAGUUCUUUGAAGAGGGACGAGCAGAAGACGGUACCCCUUGAAUAAGCCCCGGCUAACUACGUGCCAGCAGCCGCGGUAAAACGUAGGGGGCAAGCGUUGUCCGGAUUUACUGGGUGUAAAGGGUGUGUAGACGGAGAGAAAAGUCAGAUGUGAAAUCCACAGGCUUAACCUGUGAGCUGCAUUUAAAACUGUUUCCCUUGAGUAUCGGAGAGGUCAACGGAAUUCCUAGUGUAGCGGUGGAAUGCGUAGAUAUUAGGAAGAACACCAGAGGCGAAGGCGAAUGACUGGACGACAACUGACGCUGAGGCGCGAAAGCGUGGGGAGCAAACAGGAUUAGAUACCCCUGUAGUC
rnacentral:rRNA from 1 species